rnacentral:rRNA from 1 species
AUACGGAGGGUCCAAGCGUUAUCCGGAAUCAUUGGGUUUAAAGGGUCCGCAGGCGGUCAAUUAAGUCAGAGGUGAAAGCCCAUCGCUCAACGAUGGAACUGCCUUUGAUACUGGUUGACUUGAGUUAUACGGAAGUAGAUAGAAUAAGUAGUGUAGCGGUGAAAUGCAUAGAUAUUACUUAGAAUACCGAUUGCGAAGGCAGUCUACUACGUAUAUACUGACGCUGAGGGACGAAAGCGUGGGGAGCAAACAGGAUUAGAUACCCUAGUAGUCC